rnacentral:rRNA from 1 species
ACGCACGCUGGCGGCGUGCUUAACACAUGCAAGUCGAACGGAAAGGCCCUGCUUUUGUGGGGUGCUCGAGUGGCGAACGGGUGAGUAACACGUGAGUAACCUGCCCUUGACUUUGGGAUAACUUCAGGAAACUGGGGCUAAUACCGGAUAGGAGCUCCUGCUGCAUGGUGGGGGUUGGAAAGUUUCGGCGGUUGGGGAUGGACUCGCGGCUUAUCAGCUUGUUGGUGGGGUAGUGGCUUACAAGGCUUUGACGGGUAGCCGGCCUGAGAGGGUGACCGGCCACAUUGGGACUGAGAUACGGCCCAGACUCCUACGGGAGGCAGCAGUGGGGAAUAUUGCACAAUGGGCGGAAGCCUGAUGCAGCAACGCCGCGUGCGGGAUGACGGCCUUCGGGUUGUAAACCGCUUUCGCCUGUGACGAAGCGUGAGUGACGGUAAUGGGUAAAGAAGCACCGGCUAACUACGUG